rnacentral:misc_RNA from 1 species
GCUGAAAGAGAACAGUAAAUUGUCUCAGCCUCCAGAAGGAAGUUUGUUUUGAUCAAACAAGACAUUAACAGAAAAAAGUGCUAGUAUUUUUUUGAAAACUAUGACUGCAAUGUCAUUAGAGGAGAAUGGUUUGAAGACUUCUGGUGUAUUAAUACACAAAAUAAUUUGCAAUUUUAAACAAAUAUCGAAAUGAAAAAUUGAAGGGUAAAUCUUCUUCUGAUUACGAUCAUGUUAAGACACGGUACAAACUUGAUCUUGCUUUAUGGGAAAUGAGAUUGCUUUCUUAUUUACAGGCAUCUGGCAUUGUACAGUCCUGAGUUAUCAAAUUUAAGCAUAAGUAUAAAUUGCUCGUGGAAAUAGAAUAUUUAUCUAGUGUAUAUUGCAUUCAUGUUAAAUGUGCAUUAAAUUUGUAGGGAAUUUAUAGAAGAAAUGUCAGGAAAAAAAUCAGUACUAGUAAAGUGUUAUUUAAAAGUGUGUAAGUUUCCAAGCUUGCAAGAUACAUGUAUUACUUAGUAUAUUGAUGAAUAAGUUAUCUUUAUGAAUAUGAAUAAUUCAUUAAAAAUACUUAACUCAU